rnacentral:tRNA from 1 species
GCCUCUGUGGCUUAGUUGGUAGAGCGAUUGAUUCGUAAUCAAUUGGUCGAGUGAAUAAUUCGAUUAGAUGAAUAGGUCGGGGGUUCAAAUCCCCCCAGAGGCU